AAUUCUGUUUCUGUUUCUGCAGUUUCUUGAAACAGAAACGGCAGAAACGUUUUCAAACGGGCCCCUAGUGUUCACUUUUUCUGUAUUUGGAAACAAAUAAAAAUGAUGAAAUAAGGUUUUGUUGUUCCAUCAUUUUGCAUUUCUAGCGUUUUUCUUUCCGUUUUGUCAGAAAAAAAAAGCGGAAAAACACUGGUUGACACCAAACACUUUAUUCCGUUUUUUGUUCCCAUAAAACGAAAAAACAUCAUAAACGUUUUUUUGAAUGACCACCAAACCCAGCCAUAGUGUUGUGUUUUUUUACCAUUAGCGUUUCCUCCUUCGGUGCCGUUUGGUUUCGGACAUUUCUGUGUUCCUUUCCUGCCCUGUCGACCCACACUUCUCGACUUGGGGAGUCGGGCCUUGGAAUCUUCUUCGAUCACCAUACCCUGCAAAGCCUUCACUUUCAGGGACGUGGAGAAAGUUCUUUACUCAACGUCGUAUUCUCAAUGGAGCCCGUAGACCACAACGAAGUUCUCCAUUCUUGGGAGGCAUAGGCCAUCCCGGUUCCUGGCUUCCACAGUUCUCCCGCUCCACUCGCGUUCGGAGACUUCAAGAAAGCUCGACGGAAGAUUAACCUUUGACGUUCUGUAACCUAGUUCUCUGUUCGCUUUCGCUCUCGCUCCUGGAAGAUUAACCUUUGACGUCUUUGUUUCUUUCCUCCAUGUCUGUGGGAAAAGCAAUGGUGUUUUAAGAGCCUCGGAAGAGUUUAAGAGAUGGGUCGUCCGGAGCCCUGUGUUUUGUUUGCUCAGACCUUCGUUCAUCCCCAACUCGAUGAGUAUGUUGAUGAGGUAAUAUUUGGCGAACCAGUUGUCAUUACUGCCUGUGAAUUCCUUGAACAGAAUGCAUCAUCGGCUUCCCAAGUAAUAGCACUUAUUGGUUUACACAGGUGGGGCUUGGCCGGGUUUUUGGGAAGCCAAGCCUAGGAAACCCAAACCCAAGUUAGCCUGUUAGGGCUGAGCUCUGCCCAAGGUGUCCAUUCUAGAAUGUUUAUAUGUAUCUAUAAAAGGUGAUGCAGGGAGAUUCAACCCCUAGUCUAGAGGAUGGCAGCACAUAGGCUUCACCGGCACGGGUUCACAACAUUCAAGCAUCUAAAUGCAAAGGAUCAGAGUUAUAUUUGUUUGGAAUUACCAAUGCAGCAGAGUAAUGAUAGCAAGAGAAAUCAAACACACCCCACCCACCCACAAGGUUCGAAAUUUCGUUUUGUUUCGGUGGGUUCAGAAACUGAAAUUUCGUUUCGUUUCAGCUGAAAUGGUGUUUUUUUUUUUUUUUUUUUUCAAUUGACUAUUUCGGUGGCCAUAUUUUGACCUGAAACUUGGUGAGUAUCUUAUUUUAAGAUUAAUGAACAUACUUAGGACAUAAAAAUGCAAAAAUAUUAGGACAUGACAUUGUUUUAGAGUUGCACCUUUGUUUGGCAGCAACCGGCGAACUGUUCUGAAAAUUUUACCUAGUUUUGGAGAAAGAACUUUAC